rnacentral:ribozyme from 1 species
UGCCUAGGAACUACUAUCCCUACCUCCUCACGGUACUGGUCGGGUACGGAUAACUUUAGCAAAGAUCGGGUAACCAACUUUGAUGAGAACUUUGGUUGUAUUCUGACAGGGAAGG